rnacentral:rRNA from 1 species
GACGAACGCUGGCGGCGUGCUUAACACAUGCAAGUCGAACGGAAAGGCCCUGCUUUUGUGGGGUGCUCGAGUGGCGAACGGGUGAGUAACACGUGAGUAACCUGCCCUUGACUUUGUGAUAACUUCAGGAAACUGGGGCUAAUACCGGAUAGGAGCUCCUGCUGCAUGGUGGGGGUUGGAAAGUUUCGGCGGUUGGGGAUGGACUCGCGGCUUAUCAGCUUGUUGGUGGGGUAGUGGCUUACCAAGGCUUUGACGGGUAGCCGGCCUGAGAGGGUGACCGGCCACAUUGGGACUGAGAUACGGCCCAGACUCCUACGGGAGGCAGCAGUGGGGAAUAUUGCACAAUGGGCGGAAGCCUGAUGCAGCAACGCCGGGUGCGGGAUGACGGCCUUCGGGUUGGAAACCGCUUUCGCCUGUGACGAAGCGUGAGUGACGGUAAUGGGUAAAGAAGCACCGGCUAACUACGUG